rnacentral:tRNA from 1 species
GGCGAGAUAGUUUAGUAAGAGAACAUCUAUUUUACACGUAGGGGGGAGGGUGUUUUGUCCUUAUCGUCA